UUGCUGAUAGCCUCACUUUUGCCUUCGUCAGUUCCUCUUUCUCUCUCUUCCGCCUCUCUUCCUCCAUCACACUCUCACACAGGCACAUCGCACAUAGAUCGAACUCCGAUAUGACCAGAUCAGACACCGAUCAAGACACCAAACGGUUCUAUAUGGAAAUCGUCAUCACCGGCGCUAUCAACAAGUGAUGGGUUCGUCAACACCGUCUUCUGGAUCCAGACCAUUCUCGGCCGAAGCUUAGGUCGGGUACAGGGCCGAUGAGAUCGGAAGAGUUCGGCAUCCCCGAUGAAUAUCUUCGUAGAAAGUUGCCUGAUAUUGAUGAAGAUGUUGUCAGAGUACAUUGAUAUGUCCAACUUUGUUUCCUCAGAAGUUAUUCUCAGAGGUUGUUCAUUGUUGUUGAAAUUUUUAAAGUUUUAAAAUACAAGAACAUGUCAGCUUGUUCUUGGUUGCAGGAUUGCAUUGAUAUUCCUUGUCAGUGCUUAUUUAUAGGGUUGUUUUUGUCCUAUUACAAAUUCGCUUGGAGAGAGCUUGGACAACAACUUCAACUUCAACUGUUAUUUGGGAGGUUGCAGGGAGAGACAGCGGCAGCAGCUAGGAGAAGAUCUAAGAUUACUCCUGAGCUGGACAAGCACAAUAACCAGAUCAAUACUAUAAGGAUAAAUUCUCUUUGGAAGUUGGAGGUUAUUGCAGUGAUUAGAGUGAAAGUUCAGUUUAGCAACUAUUAAGUUAGGACAGAAGAGUUUAUGCUGAUGGAAGCAUUUGUUUGGACAUCCUACAGAAUCAGUGGAGCCCUAUUUAUGAUGUAGCAGCUAUACUUACUUUCAUUCAGGUACAUUGCAGAGGGAGGGCUUAGUGUUUGUUCAAUAUUGGAGGCAGAAAAUGCAGCCACAGAAAGGAACAUGAAGAUGUUAAAUUUUUUCAUGUUGUAGUUUAUUUGAAAUUGUAUACGAAUUGUACAAUACAUUUUACAAAUACAUGGUUGUAGUUAGACCAAAUUGUUAUUUUUUUUUAUAUAUACUCCCAAUUUUGCCACUGAUAUUGGUGGCAUUGAGAAUA